GUAUUUAAAGUUUUAAAGGCAUUCAAAGCCCAACAACAAACAUUCUGAGACAUACUAUAGGGGUGUAUAUAAACAUAGACCGGAAGUGUAAGGAAAGCCGGCUUACGCACGGCAAUCCUCAAUACCGAGUUUCCUCGAGAGAUAUCCAGGUCUACAAAAGGUGCACAGGUGGUAAAAGGUUGGUUGUCAGGCGUGCACAUGCUCCGGAGAGCCAGCAACAACCCAACCAAGCUUAUUCAAUAAUGAUCCUUCCGCAGGUUCACCUACGGAAA
rnacentral:misc_RNA from 1 species